UCCGAUUUUUGACGAGCGCAUCUAUUAGAUUAAAACCAAUCGGAUUUCGGUCCGUCAUUUGGUGACUCUGAAUAGCUAUGGCUGAUCGCAUGGUCUUGUACCGGCGACGUAUCUAUCAAGUGUCUGCCUUAUCAACUUUCGAUGGUAGUUUAUGUGCCUACCAUGGUUGUAACGGGUAACGGAGAAUAAGGGUUCGACUCCGGAGAGGGAGCCUGAGAAACGGCUACCACAUCCAAGGAAGGCAGCAGGCGCGCAAAUUACCCACUCUCGGCAUGAGGAGGUAGUGACGAAAAAUAACGAGACCGUUCUCUAUGAGGCCGGUUAUCGGAAUGGGUACAAUUUAAACCCGUUAACGAGGAUCUAUGAGAGGGCAAGUCUGGUGCCAGCAGCCGCGGUAAUUCCAGCUCUCAAAGUGUAUAUCGUCAUUGCUGCGGUUAAAAAGCUCGUAGUUGGAUCUGCGCCUCAGGACUCGGUCCGCCCACUGGGUGAGAACUGGGCUCCUAGGCUAAUACUGCUGGUUUUCCCUAUGUUGCCUUCACCGGUCGCGUAGGGUGGCUAGCGAGUUUACUUUGAAAAAAUUAGAGUGCUUCACGCGGGCUAUUGUCUGAAUACUCGUGCAUGGAAUAAUAGAAUAGGAUCUCGGUUCUAUUUUGUUGGUUUUCUGAUCUGAGAUAAUGGUUAAGAGGGACGGACGGGGGCAUUCGUAUCGCUGCGUGAGAGGUGAAAUUCUUGGACCGUAGCGAGACGUCCGACUGCGAAAGCAUUUGCCAAGAAUGUCUUCAUUAAUCAAGAACGAAAGUCAGAGGUUCGAAGGCGAUCA
rnacentral:rRNA from 1 species